rnacentral:lncRNA from 1 species
GAGAAGAAGACUCAUCUAUUGAAACAAUCAAAUGUCCCAGCAGACUUCCCAAUGUGUCUGUUAGGCAUCAUCCUGAGACUGGGACACCAUUUCCAUUCAAUGAGCACUGACUAGUUCCAGCUCUAUCCCUCCAUCCAUCCUGGAUCCAUCUCAGGUGUCUAAAGAGCCUGGUGCUGAAUGCAUCUCCCUCUGCUGCUGUGCUGGUUCUGAAACUUGUGACCACAUCUGAGUCCAUCUCUUCUGCAAUCUAGGACCUAAAUAUCAGGGAUUACUUUUCCUCAUUUCCUCAUUCCCUGAGUAUUGAGAGUUUCUACUUUCUUCUCCAUCAACUGUGGCCUUGGUGAUGGACCCUCUAUAAGGAGAGUCCCAGUGUCUGAUAAAGAUAAGAGAUUGUCGGGAGGGAAGAUACGCG